GAUGAACGCUGGCGGCGUGCCUAAUACAUGCAAGUCGAGCGAACAGACGAGGAGCUUGCUCCUCUGACGUUAGCGGCGGACGGGUGAGUAACACGUGGAUAACCUACCUAUAAGACUGGGAUAAAUUCGUGAAACCGGAGCUAAUACCGGAUAAUAUAUUGAACCGCAUGGUUCAAUAGUGAAAGACGGUUUUGCUGUCACUUAUAGAUGGAUCCGCGCCGCAUUAGCUAGUUGGUAAGGUAACGGCUUACCAAGGCAACGAUGCGUAGCCGACCUGAGAGGGUGAUCGGCCACACUGGAACUGAGACACGGUCCAGACUCCUACGGGAGGCAGCAGUAGGGAAUCUUCCGCAAUGGGCGAAAGCCUGACGGAGCAACGCCGCGUGAGGGAUGAAGGUCUUCGGAUCGUAAAACUCUGUUAUUAGGGAAGAACAAAUGUGUAAGUAACUAUGCACGUCUUGACGGUACCUAAUCAGAAAGCCACGGCUAACUACGUG
rnacentral:rRNA from 1 species